rnacentral:rRNA from 1 species
CUUGGCGACCAUAGCGCUUUGGACCCACCUGACUCCAUGCCGAACUCAGUAGUGAAACGAAGCAGCGCCGAUGGUAGUGUGGGGUCUCCCCAUGUGAGAGUAGGACAUCCACCAAAU